rnacentral:rRNA from 1 species
GAUGAACGCUGGCGGCGUGCCUAACACAUGCAAGUCGAACGUUAUUCCAAUUUCGGUUGGGAGAAAGUGGCGAACGGGUGAGUAACACGUUGGUGACCUGCCCCGAAGCGGGGGACAACUCCUCGAAAGAGGCGCUAAUACCCCAGAUGUUUAAGCUGUUAGCGGGCUUAAACUAAAGUUGCAAAACGCUUUGGGAGGGGCCUGCGGGCUAUCAGCUAGUUGGUGAGGUAAUGGCUCACCAAGGCGAAGACGGCUAGGGGGCGUGAGAGCGUGACCCCCCACAAGGGAACUGAGAAACGGUCCCUACUCCUACGGGAGGCAGCAGUGAGGAAUAUUGAGCAAUGGGCGCAAGCCUGACUCAGCAACGCCGCGUGGAUGAUGAAGGCCUUCGGGUUGUAAAAUCCUUUUCUGGGGGAAGAUAAUGACGGUACCCCAGGAAUAAGUUCCGGCUAACUACGUGCCAGCAGCCGCGGUAAAACGUAGGGGACAAGCGUUAUCCGGAUUUACUGGGCGUAAAGCGCAUGUAGGUGGCUUAUCAAGUUGGACGUGAAAGCUCCCGGCUUAACUGGGAGAGGUCGUACAAAACUGAUAAGCUAGAGGAUGGAAGAGGAGAGCGGAAUUCCCGGUGUAGUGUGGAAUGCGUAGAUAUCGGGAGGAAC